AUGGGACAGGACGACAAGUUAAAGAAGUACGGAUCAAGAGAUGUUGAAGGCUCGACGAGCGGCAGCAGGAACGGCAAAGGAGGCUCAACUCCUCCACCACCUCCAAGCAAGUCGGGAAACCAUUCCAAGGGCGUGGAGUACACAAACCGGUCACCACCGUUGCCUAGUGCCCCGCCGCUUGUACUGAAGUCGCAUAGCACAGUGCCACGGACUACGCGUAGCUACCCGAACCGCAACUCAAAGAAUUCUGACGAGACAUCCAUCUCUCUCGAUGCCGACGCUCCACCACUAGGGAACCUCGAGGUAAACAAAAUAAUAAAGAAACAGAGCUUGAUUGAAUGUAUUCUUUUCUUACUUCUAUGUAUAUCCUGUAUGCAUGCAUGA
rnacentral:rRNA from 1 species